rnacentral:rRNA from 1 species
GACAGAGGGUGCAAACGUUGUUCGGAAUUACUGGGCGUAAAGCGCGUGUAGGCUGCUUCAAAAGUCGGGUGUGAAAGCCCUGGGCUCAACCUAGGAAGUGCACUCGAAACUGCGGAGCUUGAGUCCUGGAGAGGAAGGCGGAAUUCUCGGUGUAGAGGUGAAAUUCGUAGAUAUCGAGAGGAACACCGGUGGUGUAAACGGCUUUCUGGACCAUAACUGACGCUGAGGCACGAAAGCGUGGGUAGCAAACAGG